UUUCCCAAGCUUGGGUCUCCAGCUGUUUUUGAACUACAACUCCCAUCAUCCCUAGCUUUCAAAACCAGUGGUCAGGGACGAUGGGAUUGUAGUCUGAAAACAGAUGGAGACCAAAGGUUGGGAAA